GACGAACGCUGGCGGCGUGCUUAACACAUGCAAGUCGAACGAAGUGGCGAACGGGUGAGUAACGCGUAAUCAACCUGCCCUUCAGAGGGGGACAACAGUUGGAAACGACGGCUAAUCCCGCAUACGGAAGGAGGGGAUUGCGUCUGAUUAGCUAGUUGGAGGGGUAACGGCCCACCAAGGCGAGGAUCGGUCGCCGGGUGGAGAUGCUGAACGGCCCAAUGUGGCAUGGGGAACCGCCCAAGCUCCCACGGUAGGCAGCCGUGGGGAAGCUUCCGACAGGGACGGAAGUCUGAAGGGGCAACGCCGCGUGAGUGAGGACGGCCUUCGGGUUGUAAAGCUCUGUUUAUCGGGACGCGGUACCGGAAUAGAAAGCCACGGCUAACUACGUGCCAGCAGCCGCGGUAAUUC
rnacentral:rRNA from 1 species